UGCCUUACAGCUAGCCCACCAAAUUAAAAGAAACAUAUCAUAUUAAUAACCCCUAAGACACUUAACACCAACUAAACAAAUCAUUUUACCCCCUUAGUAUGGGCGACAGAAAAGGAACAAGGAGCAAUAGAGAAAGUACCGCAAGGGAAAGCUGAAAGAGAAGUGAAAUAAAUCAGUCUAAGCAUAAUAAAGCAGAGAUUAAAACUCGUACCUUUUGCAUCAGGCUUUAGCUAGUACCCAUCAAGCAAAGAGAACUUUAGUUUGAAACCCCGAAACUAGCUGAGCUACUCCAAGACAGCCUGACAAUAGGGCGAACCCGUCUCUGUGGCAAAAGAGUGGGACGAGCUUCGAGUAGAGGUGACAGACCUACCGAACUUGGUUAUAGCUGGUUGCCCGGGAAAUGAAUAGCAGUUCAGCCCUACGGCUUCUCCUCUCAACUCUGUAGUACUUUUACCGACAGCCUAAGAAAACCGUAGGAGUUAGUCAAAGGGGGUACAGCCCCUUUGAUACAGGACACAACCUUCCCAGGAGGGUAAAGAUCAUAUUUUAUAUAAGGUGCUAUGUCUUGGUGGGCUUAAGAGCAGCCACCCUAUUAGAAAGCGUUAAACCUCGGACAUACCGACACACCUAUUAUCCGGAUAAUUAUAUCCCAUCCCCCUAAUUCUACCGGGCCGCCCCAUACCCUUAUGGGAGUGACCAUGCUAAUAUGAGUAACAAGAGAGUCAAGACUCUCUCCUUGCACAAGUGUAAGUCAGAACGAACCCGCACUGAACCUUAACGGCCCCAACAAAAGAGGGAAGUGAGAAAUAAACAGAUAACAAGAAAAUUACUCAGCUCACCCACCGUUAACCCCACACUGGUGUGCCCACAAGGAAAGACUAAAAGAGAAAGAAGGAACUCGGCAAAUUAAAUAAGCCUCGCCUGUUUACCAAAAACAUCGCCUCUUGCAAACUAAGAAUAAGAGGUCCCGCCUGCCCUGUGACUGUAAGUUUAACGGCCGCGGUACUCUGACCGUGCGAAGGUAGCGCAAUCACUUGUCUUUUAAAUGGAGACCUGUAUGAAUGGCAUAACGAGGGCUUGACUGUCUCCUUUUUCCAGUCAAUGAAAUUGAUCUCCCCGUGCAGAAGCGGGGAUAAGUACAUAAGACGAGAAGACCCUGUGGAGCUUUAGACACUAGGACAGACCAUGUUAAGCCUACCCUUGAUAAAGGACUAAACGAAAUGAGACCUGUUCUCAUGUCUUUGGUUGGGGCGACCGUGGGGUAACAAACAACCCCCAUGUGGACAGGGAGGACUCCUCCUAAAAGCAAGAACCGCAAUUCUAACUAACAGAAUUUCUGACCAAUAAGAUCCGGCAAUGCCGACCAACGGACCGAGUUACCCCAGGGAUAACAGCGCAAUCCCCUCUAAGAGACCCUAUCGAUGAGAGGGUUUACGACCUCGAUGUUGGAUCAGGACAUCCUGAUGGUGCAGCCGCUAUUAAGGGUUCGUUUGUUCAACGAUUAAAGUCCUACGUGAUCUGAGUUCAGACCGGAGUAAUCCAGGUCAGUUUCUAUCUAUGAAGCGAUCUUUUCUAGUACGAAAGGACCGAAAAGAAGAGGCCAAAGCUCAAAGUAAGCCUCCCCCUAAUUUAUUGAAAACAACUAAAAUAAAUAAUAGGGCGCAAACAUUCCGACCUAAGAUAAAGGCAACC
rnacentral:rRNA from 1 species